GGGUGUAAAGCACUUUAAGCAGUGAAGAAGACUCCUCGGGUUAAUACCCGUGGACGAUGACAUUAGCUGCAGAAUAAGCACCGGCUAACUCUGUGCCAGCAGCCGCGGUAAUACAGAGAGUGCAAGCGUUAAUCGGAAUUACUGGGCGUAAAGCGAGCGUAGGUGGCUUGAUAAGUCAGAUGUGAAAUCCCCGGGCUUAACCUGGGAACUGCAUCUGAAACUGUUAGGCUAGAGUAGGUGAGAGGAAGGUAGAAUUCCAGGUGUAGCGGUGAAAUGCGUAGAGAUCUGGAGGAAUACCGAUGGCGAAGGCAGCCUUCUGGCAUUAUACUGACACUGAGGCUCGAAAGCGUGGGUAGCAAACAGGAUUAGAUACCCUGGUAGUCCACGCCGUAAACGAUGUCUACUAGUCGUUGGGUCCCUUGAGGACUUAGUGACGCAGCUAACGCAAUAAGUAGACCGCCUGGGGAGUACGGCCGCAAGGUUAAAACUCAAAUGAAUUGACGGGGGCCCGCACAAGCGGUGGAGCAUGUGGUUUAAUUCGAUGCAACGCGAAGAACCUUACCUGGUCUUGACAUAUCUAGAAUCCUGCAGAGAUGCGGGAGUGCCUUCGGGAAUUAGAAUACAGGUGCUGCAUGGCUGUCGUCAGCUCGUGUCGUGAGAUGUUGGGUUAAGUCCCGCAACGAGCGCAACCCUUGUCCUUAGUUACCAGCGGGUUAAGCCGGGAACUCUAAGGAUACUGCCAGUGACAAACUGGAGGAAGGCGGGGACGACGUCAAGUCAUCAUGGCCCUUACGACCAGGGCUACACACGUGCUACAAUGGUAGGUACAGAGGGCAGCUACACAGCGAUGUGAUGCGAAUCUCAAAAAGCCUAUCGUAGUCCAGAUUGGAGUCUGCAACUCGACUCCAUGAAGUAGGAAUCGCUAGUAAUCGCGGAUCAGAAUGCCGCGGUGAAUACGUUCCCGGGCCUUGUACACACCGCCCGC
rnacentral:rRNA from 1 species